ACGGAAGGCAGCAGUGGGGAAUAUUGCACAAUGGGCGAAAGCCUGAUGCAGCGACGCCGCGUGAGUGAAGAAGUAUCUCGGUACGUAAAGCUCUAUCAGCAGGGAAGAAAAUGACGGUACCUGACUAAGAAGCCCCGGCUAACUACGUGCCAGCAGCCGCGGUAAUACGUAGGGGGCAAGCGUUAUCCGGAUUUACUGGGUGUAAAGGGAGCGUAGACGGUUUGGCAAGUCUGAAGUGAAAUGCGGGGGCUCAACUCCUGAACUGCUUUGGAAACUGUCGAACUAGAGUGCAGGAGAGGUAAGUGGAAUUCCUAGUGUAGCGGUGAAAUGCGUAGAUAUUAGGAGGAACACCAGUGGCGAAGGCGGCUUACUGGACUGUAACUGACGUUGAGGCUCGAAAGCGUGGGGAGCAAACAGGAUUAGAUACCCUGGUA
rnacentral:rRNA from 1 species